GGGAACGCGACCGAAAUUACGCUCAGCUUUAUAGCCUGCGUUUGCACCAACAGGUUUAUACGAUUGUGUUUAGUGGAAGCGCGGUGAGAUGAUCUACAGUGCGCGCGGGACUACACUGACCUACACACCAGCUGGCAUCUGCAACAAGAAGGAUAAUUUUGCAUGUACACAUAAAAAUACUAUUUAUUACAUCUGCAGAAAACAUAGCAAUUGUCAAGUGAACCUUAAAUAAUUCUACCAUCAUGGAACUUGACGCGUCUAUCAUUCUCCCUGCGCUCUUCUUUACCAUUCUUGCUGUUGUCUUGGCAGCCAAAUUCAUCCCCAAAAAACAACCAGAGGAGAAGAAGAAGAGGGUUAAAGUAGGCAACGGAGACGACAUUCCACCUUCCAGAGGAUUGGCACCAGCAGUAGCAAUACUGGAAGUACCAAAAAUGGAGAUAGUACCAAAAGUGGAGGUACCCCCACAAGUGGUAGAAGCUGAAGUUAUACCCAAGCCAGUAACAGUUGCCCCAGUAGUUGAAGAGAUCAAUGUUGUAGAAGAAGAGACAGUUAAAGAGCCUGAAAUGAUCCCUGAGGUUCGGGCUGUGCCAGAGCCCAUGCCAGAGCCCGUGGUUGAGCCAGAACCUGUGCCUGAGCCCAUCCCUGAGCCAGAGCCCAUCCCAGUCGUUGUUGAGGAGCCCAUCCUUGAGCUCAUCGCGAACUUGAACCUGUAUCUGUGGUGAAGGAGGUCCCCGUCAGAGAGCCCACCCCUGAGCCAGCAAGGGAACCCAACCCCAAGCCAGCGAGGGAACCCACCCCUGAGCCCAUCUUCAUGCCAGAGCCAGAGGACCUUGAGAGCAACGCUGAGGAGGUGCACUUUACCCCAGGAAUGAAGAUUAGCAAGUUGGAGAAGAUGAUGACCAAGGAGGAGAUGGAGGAGGAGCAGAGUGCAGCUGAGUAGGCGAUGAAGAAACGGAAUGACUCAACACCCACACCUUUCUAUUCUUUACUUUGUUUUGUGAAAAGUGAUCACUGAAGAAGAACCUUUGAAACCUCUGCUGAGAAGAGUGAUCUCUUCUGUUGAUUGUCCGGCAACUUUGCUGUUGAUAUGGAAAAUAUAUGUUGCUUUUUGUCCUCUCCCCUUUUCUUUCCUUCUUUCUUACUUUGAAGGAUGUGAAUUAAAGGCUAUUGCUCAACUCUGCCUGUGAAUAGCAUGCUGCAUUACACCAAACACACAAGUGCCUAUGUGAAUCUUUAGUCCCCGCCCCUUCGCUUUCUAUCUGCUCUCUUACUGGUGGCGUCUAUCCUUUUGAUUAGAGCAGGAAUGAUUCAUUCUGGAUUCUGAGACUCUGAUAGUCGCAAAGGAACAUUUGAAGAUAAUACAUCCAUGCUUAUUACAGAGUAUGACGUGUGGGGUGUGCAAAAAAAGUUCCCGAAAAAAGUAAGGUCGGGAACCACUGGUUUAGAAGAAAUGGAUGACCAUUGCAAUACCAAUACAGUAAGGAAGUGUUUAAAUAGCUAUUAUGGGUGAAGGGGUAGGGAAGGGUUGUGUUGUUUUUCAUUGUUUUAAAAUAUGAAACUGUGAUUUAAAGACAUGACAAGUGAUUUGCAUGCAAAGGCCCCUCUACCCAAGUCUUUGUCUGUGUGGCCACUGUCCAUUGUGAGCCAGUCCCAGACACUUUAAGUAAUGUAACAAAUGCCAAUCAGUAACAUCCAAAUAGCCUACUGAUGGCAUUCUGAAUGCUGAGAAAACCAUAUAUCUCACUUCUGUCCUGACUCUGACGAUCACUGGGGCUUUUGUCACUUUAUAAGUAUGUAACCAAUGCACACUGACAAUGAAUGGGCUUCCUUUCAUAUGGGACUGGAGCUCGGUAGAUAGAAUGGCUAAAGUGGAAUAUGUGUAUGACAACCCGUAGUGAUUUUUGUAGAGGGAUUGAAAUGUUUUGUUUAAACAUUAUGUUUUUGGGCUUUUGUAAACUCUUGACUAUUAAAAGCCAGUUUGUCUAAAACCAAUGCUUGUUUAAGCCUCAUACUCAUUUCCACCCAGUAAUCCACCCAUUUUUCCAUAUCAGCACAUCUAAUUAAAAUUAAAUUCAUCUCAUCAUUGAGUUUUGCUCACCUACUUUGUAGCACAUUUUGUAGUACAUUUACAUACACAAUGCUAAUCAGUAUUGUCAUGUGUUGCAUCUUUCUAUGUAAGCCAGAAGGUCAUACAUGGAUUAAUGAUGAUGAUAUCAUAACUUCAAAUCUCUCUAUGUACAUACGCAAUAAUAGCCGUUCUCAUUGCACCACUCAGCAUAUGAUUUCUGGUAACUAGUAGGGCUUUGUAUGUUUAAGACGUGCCUUAGUUGAUGUGCCUUUGUCAGGUAGGUGUUAACUUCAGUUGGACUUGAGAUUGAAGCCCUCUGGAAGAAGGUAUUUUGAGGUGUUUUUAUUGGGCAGCCAGUAUGUGAAUGAUGACAAUAAUAAACUGUGAAGCACCUGUCUACCCCAGGAUAUGUUUUAUAGCUGUGUUUAUUAGAACAUUAGAAGACACACAGUGCCUUGCAAAAUUAUUCAUCCCCCUUGGCGUUUUUCCUAUUUUGUUGCAUUACAACCUGUAAUUGAAAUGGAUUUGUAUUUGUAUUUCAUGUAAUGGACAUACACAAAAUAGUACAAAUUGGUGAAGUGAAAUUUUUAAAAAUAAAAUAAAAAAACUGAAAAGUGGUGUGUGCAUAUGUAUUCACCCCCUUUGCUAUGAAGCCCCUAGAUAAGAUCUGGUGCAACCAAUUACCUUCAGAAGUCACAUAAUUAGUUAAAUAAAGUCCACCAGUGUACAAUCUAAGUGUCACAUGAUCUGUCACAUGAUCACAGUAUAUAUACACCUGUUCUGAAAGGCCCCAGAGUCUGCAACACCACAAAGCAAGCGGCACCAUGAAGACCAAGGAGCUCUCCAAACAGGUCAGGGACAAAGUUGUGGAGAAGUACAGAUCAGGGUUGGGUUAUAAAAAUAUCAGAAACUUUGAACAUCCCACGGAGCACCAUUAAAUCCAUUAUUAAAAAAUUGAAAGAAUAUGGCAUACAACAAACCUGCUAAGAGAGGGCCGCCCACCAAAACUCACGGACCAGGCAAGGAGGCCAUUAAUCAGAGAGGCAAAAAAGAGACCAAAGAUAACCCUGAAGGAGCUGCAAAGCUCCACAGCGGAGAUUGGAGUAUCUGUCCAUAGGACCACUUGAAGCCGUACACUCCACAGAGCUGGGCUUUACGGAAGAGUGGAAGAGUGGCCAGAAAAAAAGCCAUUGCUUAAAGAAAAAAAUAAGCAAACACGUUCGGUGUUCGCCAAAAGGCAUGUGGGAGACUCCCCAAACAUAUGGAAGGAAAAUGCUGUCUGGAGCAAACCCAACACCUCCCAUCACCCAGAGAACACCAUCCCCACAGUGAAGCAUGGUGGUGGCAGCAUCAUGCUGUGGAGAUGUUUUUCAUUGGCAGGGACUGAGACACUGGUCAGAAUUGAAGGAAUGAUGGAUGGCACUAAAUACAGGGAAGAAAGAAGAAUGAGCAAAAUCCCAGUGGCUAGAUGUGCCAAGCUUAUAGAGACAUACCCC
ensembl:lncRNA